UCAUCCAAAUGAGGAUACUGAAUAUAAAAUAUGUUUCCUCAACAAAAUUAAAUAAACAUUCCGUUCAGUUAUUGUAUGUAACUAGAAGUGAACACAAAUGUAAAACUCAAAUAUGUAUGUUAUUAGUUUAAUAAUUUUGUUUUUGUGCGCUGCAGAUGGAUUAGCUCCAAAAUGUACUAAAGCUGAAAACUUUAAACAGAAAUGUAAAGAUAAGAAACACAUUUUACUUCUUAAUACAUCUGACUCUCAAGACAUUAAUCAAUUUAAAACAUUCUCCGAUGAUGUUGAAGUUAUUGAUGAAAUAUGUCCUGGAGGUGUCCAGGGACUUCUUGCAGCAACCACGGUGCUCCCAAAUUGUUACAUCGUUAACCUAAAUGUUUCUGAUUUCUAUAAAUUUGAUAUCGAUAACCUUUCACAGUAUUUAUUAUAUGGAGGUGACAGAAACUACUCUCAGUAUAAAAUUGGAGCUUGCGUCGUAAAACUCAACACUUCAAAUAUAAUUUGCAAUAAUAAUACAAUCAAAAAAUUCUCGUUCCCUUCCGUAAAACUAAUGAGUGAAAAUGUAGAGAACUAUCAUGAAUUAUACAACGCCGUCCUAAAUUUUCCUAACAAAAGUCACGUUGAAAAGCAUGAAGAAAAGGCAGCAAGCAACUUUGUUAUACUCAUAUGUACCGACAACGAGCCGAAUGAGGUUUCCAAACAUUAUGUUGGAAAUGAUAUAAAAUUUUCUACUCAUUGCGAACGUGACAUUGAAAUAUAUCAAAAAGAUCUUUUAGCCGUUGUGACGGCGAAACCUUUAGAAAUCGAUUACGACAUUAUGGUGCCGAUUAUGCUGUAUCAAGCUCCGUGUUAUGAUGAAAAUAUUUCUAAAAUUCAUAAUUACGUGACAAUGACUAAAUGCGACCAUUAUAAACUUGCGUUGGUGGAGUUUUUGAAGAGUGUUGGGUGGACUAGAGUGGCUGUCGUCUCCGAUAAUGCAGCAUAUAGUGAAAAAUUUGAACGAGAAGUCACGGCUCUGUUUGACGAGAACUAAUUUGCUUAUACAGUUGUAAAAUGUCAUGAAUCCCUCAAGAGGGGAUGUAACUUUACUGAGGCGCUGGAAUCACUUAAAAAGUCGGACGGAAGGGUGUUCAUCGCAAAUAUGGACGAAAACAACGCUAGAAUUCUACAACAGCAAGCCUCACAUGUUUGGACGGGGCUAUGGGUGACGUUUACUCCAUAUUUCUGGAGCCAGAAAACAACCAGAUUAUGACCAAUACGCUUCAACAUAUUUUGAAUGAUAUACGAUACAAGAAUAGUAUAAUUACGGCGAUUAAAAUGAUUCGUACCGCUUAUACUAGAAUUUUGCGUCGAUACAAUGAAAUGGAAAGAAAAUAUUUUUUUUGGAAUUUAACUAACAAAAUACGGAAGCAACUAUCAUCAGGCGCCAAAGUAAAUGUCCAUUUGAAAAGCCCGCGAGAAGUUUUUACCGAAAUGACCAUUAUGGAUGGUAAAGUGACCACCCACUAUAAGAGACAGCGUCGGCGUGAAGAUAUGACUAGUUGCUCUUUUAGAAGAACUGAUUACCACAACCCGUGCGAUGACCAUACACUUCUGAACAUAAUGAUAGUUUUCGUUGUGAUCGCUUCGUGUGGUCUGGUGGCGACCAUUUUCUACUACAGGUUUGAUUUUAACAUACGGCGGUAGAUAAACCUUGAAUAAUAAAGGCUCCGUCAAGCCUCGCCAGACAGAGCGUGGCUAGGUGUGAUAUGCACUUCGAGUGGUGACCGCGUGCUCUGGACAUACUGGUUCCUUUAAUGAUAUCUCCCCAAAACUUGAUAAAGAAGUCUGAGAAAUUGGCUUUUUACUAAAAUGAAAUAAUAUACAAGAGUACACAAGGUAUUAAAAAAAGUACCACACGUUUUUAAACAAAAUCAGAAAAUAUAAAAAUUUUAGGCUAGGUCACUUUAGUUCUCAGCGUGCUAUAUUACAAGCCACGCUCUCUGUCUGGCGAGGUAGAACAGGCGUUUCUUGCCCGUUGAAAUACGUGUUAACUAACAUUGAUUUUAUAAAAAAAAAACUUAAUUGUGCUCUUACGCGUUUGACUACGACCUUUUGCAAUAUGUGUAUAUACAAUAUGGUUUGUAAUAUGCGUGUAUAUAGGCGUCGCCAAAAUUGUAUUUAGGGAGAUGCAACUGCAAUCUACACACUAUAGUAGGUACUACAUAACAUCAUUAUUUUGAAUUUUUUUAGUAAAAGGUAUUUGUACAUACUAAAUAAUAAUAAAACCUCUAUGGUCGAUAGUUCCCAUUGUCAUUCGUUCAUUUUUAUUAUGAUUUGUUACGGAUGGGGGGACCCCUUAGCAUCCCUCUCCAGCGCCUAUGUGCAUUGUGCGUGUACCUUGCGUCUUGAAGAAGCGUUCAAACGCGCCCACUACGACGCAACUUAAAAUUUUCGACGAAAUAUUCGUUUUGUUUGCACGUAAUUGUACAGAAAAUGAAUAAGGAUAAAUAUAACAAUAUUAUUGAAACGGACAUUAUAAUUAAGCCGUCUAAAUUAAUUAGAAUUCGCGUUAUUUUUACUUGUAUUGGAUAAAUUUAUGUAUAAAGAAUUUAAGCAAAAUGUUAUCCCGGGUAUUUAUAUGUCGUCGAAAUAAAUAAGGAUAAUACUGUA
rnacentral:misc_RNA from 1 species